rnacentral:rRNA from 1 species
UGACGGACACUNCCCGUGAGUGAUGAAGGUUUUCGGAUCGUAAAGCUCUGUUGUUAGGGAAGAACAAGUACCGUUCGAAUAGGGCGGUACCUUGACGGUACCUAACCAGAAAGCCACGGCUAACUACGUGCCAGCAGCCGCGGUAAUACGUAGGUGGCAAGCGUUGUCCGGAAUUAUUGGGCGUAAAGGGCUCGCAGGCGGUUUCUUAAGUCUGAUGUGAAAGCCCCCGGCUCAACCGGGGAGGGUCAUUGGAAACUGGGGAACUUGAGUGCAGAAGAGGAGAGUGGAAUUCCACGUGUAGCGGUGAAAUGCGUAGAGAUGUGGAGGAACACCAGUGGCGAAGGCGACUCUCUGGUCUGUAACUGACGCUGAGGAGCGAAAGCGUGGGGAGCGAACAGGAUUAGAUACCCUGGUAGUCCACGCCGUAAACGAUGAGUGCUAAGUGUUAGGGGGUUUCCGCCCCUUAGUGCUGCAGCUAACGCAUUAAGCACUCCGCCUGGGGAGUACGGUCGCAAGACUGAAACUCAAAGGAAUUGACGGGGGCCCGCACAAGCGGUGGAGCAUGUGGUUUAAUUCGAAGCAACGCGAAGAACCUUACCAGGUCUUGACAUCCUCUGACAAUCCUAGAGAUAGGACGUCCCCUUCGGGGGCAGAGUGACAGGUGGUGCAUGGUUGUCGUCAGCUCGUGUCGUGAGAUGUUGGGUUAAGUCCCGCAACGAGCGCACCCUUGAUCUUAGUUGCCAGCAUUCAGUUGGGCACUCUAAGGUGACUGCCGGUGA